rnacentral:rRNA from 1 species
AUGAACGCUGGCGGCGUGCCUAAUCCCUGCAAGUCGAGCGAACGGACGAGAAGCUUGCUUCUCUGAUGUUAGCGGCGGACGGGUGAGUAACACGUGGAUAACCUACCUAUAAGACUGGGAUAACUUCGGGAAACCGUAGCUAAUACCGGAUAAUAUUUUGAACCGCAUGGUUCAAAAGUGAAAGACGGUCUUGCUGUCACUUAUAGAUGGAUCCGCGCUGCAUUAGCUAGUUGGUAAGGUAACGGCUUACCAAGGCAACGAUGCAUAGCCGACCUGAGAGGGUGAUCGGCCACACUGGAACUGAGACACGGUCCAGACUCCUACGGGAGGCAGCAGUAGGGAAUCUUCCGCAAUGGGCGAAAGCCUGACGGAGCAACGCCGCGUGAGUGAUGAAGGUCUUCGGAUCGUAAAACUCUGUUAUUAGGGAAGAACAUAUGUGUAAGUAACUGUGCACAUCUUGACGGUGCCUAAUCAGAAAGCCACGGCUAACUACGUG